rnacentral:misc_RNA from 1 species
AUUUGCAGCUCCCUGCUAAUGCACCCAAGUGUGCUCACCACAACAAUCACCACGAGGGUUUCAUGAACUUUAUGCACCGAGAUGAGGAGGUGAAUUACUUCCCUUCAAGGUUUGAUCCUGCUCGCCAUGCCGAGAGGUAUCCUCACCCACCUGCUGUCUGCACUGGACAGCGUGAGAGGUGCGUAAUUGCCAAGGAGAACAACUUUAAGGAGCCUGGAGAGAGAUACAGAUCUUGGACAUCAGACAGACAAGAACGAUUUAUCCGGAGAUGGGUGGAUGCUUUGUCUGACACCCGUGUCACCCAUGAGAUCCGCAGCAUCUGGAUUUCUUACUGGUCUCAGGCGGACAGGUCUCUUGGUCAGAAGCUUGCAUCUCAUCUCAACGUGAGGCCAAGCAUUUGAGGAGUGUUCA